UCAAGGCACUCGCUCACCCAACGACGUGUCUGAUUGGUCGAAAUGAGAGGACGCCAACAUGGGACGGCCAAUCACAGCCAUCGAUAGAAGUUUCAAAGUGCUUCGAAACUUUAAUACUAAUCGUAAGGGAAAGACACGUGCAAGACGAACGAAGCUUCGAAGAGGAAUGCUGUACUGCGUCAAAAAUCAAGGCACUCGCUCACCCAACGACGUGUCUGAUUGGUCGAAAUGAUAGGACGCCAACAUGGGACGGCCAAUCACAGCCAUCGAUAGAAGUUUCAAAGUGCUUCGAAACUUUAAUACUAAUCGUAAGGGAAAGACACGUGCAAGACGAACGAAGCUUCGAAGAGGAAUGCUGUACUGCGUCACGAAUCGACGUACUCGCUUACACAGCGACGUGUCUGAUUGGUCGAAAUGAGAGGACGCCGAAUGAAACAACCAAUCACAGCCAUUGGUAGAAGUUUCGAAACUGUAAUGCUAAUCGUAAUGGAAUCGUUCUUACAAUAAAUAUCAGCGAAAAAAAUCGAAUAAUGUACUUUUUUUAGCAACACCUGUCUUGUAUUAUAUUUUAUAUUAUUGUAAUUA